UGAGGCACCACCAUGAACAAGCCCGAUCCCGUCUGACCUCGGAAGCUAAGCAGGGUCGGGCCUGGUUAGUACUUGAAUGGGAGACCACCUAGGAAAAUCAGGUGCUAUAG
rnacentral:rRNA from 1 species